UGCGUAGGGGGCAAGCGUUGUCCGGAUUUACUGGGCGUAAAGAGCGCGUAGGCGGAGAUCUAAGCGUGGCCUGAAAGCCCCCGGCUCAACCGGGGAGUGCGGCUGCGAACUGGGUUUCUUGAGGACGAUAGAGGAGAGUGGAAUUCCUGGUGUAGCGGUGAAAUGCGUAGAUAUCCGGAGGAAGACCGGUGGCGAAGGCGGUCUGCUGGGCAGUUUCUGACACUGAUGCGCGACAGCGUGGGGAGCAAACAGG
rnacentral:rRNA from 1 species